rnacentral:lncRNA from 1 species
GCUGAUCGAAUAAGUGUGUAUUAUGAGUUAAUGGUUAUAGCUGUAUGGAUAUCUAUUCAAGUAUUGUAAGGAAUGUAUUUGAAGGUCUCGUACCUGGGAAGUAAACUUUGAUGUAUGUAAAUUAAGUUUGAAUGUAAUAUUACUAUUGUAUUAUUCAGCUUAUAGAAAUGGUAUCGUGAAGCACUGAGUUCGGGUUUCAAGUAUCCGGAUUUGGGGGCGUCACAU